CCCAAUCUAAUGCCAGGUCUUCCUUUGAUUUUUCCAGAGUUUUAAAUAGCGCGCUAAGCCUCUUAGCGGCGGACCUCUUCUAAAUGCUAUAGCGUCUUACAACGGUGCUAUAGCGAGCUAUUUAAAAUGUUUGUUCAUGUGUUUGGACAAAAGAUCUUUAGCGCAGGGCCUCUUCUAAACGCUAUAGCGUGCUAUAGCGGAGCUAUAGCGGGCUAUUUAAAACUAUGGAUUUUUCUAAUGCAGGAGCUUCAACGCAACAAGACAUGCUUGGGGCAACACCUUUGUUUAAUUGUAUACGGUCCUACAGGUGGAUGGAUCUUUUUUGUGAGGAAGCUACGGCCUUUUGAUGAGAAAACUGUGAUGUCAGGUACAAGUAGAUGGAUGGAUUCUUAGGCCUGAAUUUUGAUUCUGUUGGGGUGUUGCCGAGCUUCCCUCUUUCUUUCUUUGCGGUUGUUUUAUAGUACCUUUUAGGAGAAAUUUUUAUUCUGUAGGGAUGUUGCCAGGCAUAUCCUAGUAUUUCUUGAUACUGUCGGGUUGAAGAACUAAACAAAGAACAUAAUUAAUAAAGAACUUGGACCGAGUUUGUACUGCUGCAACAAGUUUCAAUCUUCUGAAUUUUUUUUCUGAAAUCUUCUGAAAGUUGAUUAGGGAAAAUCUCUUAUGG
rnacentral:lncRNA from 1 species